rnacentral:lncRNA from 1 species
AGAAGGCUCAUUUGCUUAUGUUGCCUUACAAAGCUGCUUUACAAAGCCCGAUGUCUCUGUAGUUAUACAAGCCAAUGUUGGCUUUUUUUUUUUUUUUUUUUUGGUUUGUUUUGGUUUGGAUUUUUGUUUGUUUGUUUUUGUUUUUGUUUUUGAGCAGGAGCGUCUCUUUCUCUCUCUCUCUCUUUUUUUCCCAGCACUGUUGCAAGGAGUAGGACAAACUCAGAUUUUUUUUUCUUCAUGGCUCCUGCUAUUUCUUGGAAAAAAGGACCAGGGUGCUUGUCUUCUUUUUCUUGCUUCUCGGUAUUCCAGGCACAAAGCACUGCGCAGAAGCUGCACCAAUCCUUGCCGUCCCUGGCAGCAGAAUGGUAGAAGGUGGGAGAGACCAGGAAUCCUUCCAGGCUGUGCUGACUUUAGAAAUGAGGAUUGCACACGUUUGUCUCCUGAACCAAAAGGAGAUAAGCAGCAGAAUUUAUCAGGCGUGAAAGGGACAGCCUCCUGGUGGCCUGCCAAAAACCCAGAAUAAAGGCGAAGUUGUGCUUCAAAGCUCAGUCGCUUGCUGAGUCUGGCUAAAGUCAAGUAUUAAGAUCCACCAUUUUCUGAGCCAUGCUAGAAAAGAAGAAAAAAGUCAGGACGGUUGCUGCUUUCCAAGUCUCCGUUGGCACCAUCACAAAAUCUCAGUCGUAAGGUCACAUGAUUCUCUGCCAAAUGUAGAGUGCAUUCCCAUCAACCAUUCUGCUGAUACUGCGAAGGCAGCUAUUGUCUCGUUUAGACCCAAAGUUCAGCCCACUCUUCAUUGAAUUAGCUGAAAAACGCAUCACCUUUGGGGGCUGGGAGUCAUGGAAACGUCUACCUGGCAAGCUGCCCACUUUUUCUGCCCAUCAACCAGAGAUGGAAUUGUGCUGCCUAAUGCAAUGAUGACUUGGAAUGUGAAGAGUCGUCCAAAGUGAAUCUGAUUCUUGCAACGCCUGUUUCAGUUUGCACAGAAAACUCUGGCUUCUUGUAGUUAAGGGUGUGUGUGUGCUGGGGGGGAAUCCUUCAGACUAAAUGUAGCAAAUAAAGGUCUGAACAUGCCUACUCCGUAACUUUAU